rnacentral:lncRNA from 1 species
UUUCCUCUCACUGCCAGCCUAUUUGCUUUCCAUUUUUCAGAGACUGCUUUAAAGACAGGAUAAAUUAUUAACUGGAGGCGCUAACGUUGGGAAAACAAAAGGCUCAAGGACACACAUACAGUAGUUCUCAACCUGCAAUAGCAUGGGGGAUGUUUUUCGACUGAUACUGGAAGUGCAGAAUUAGCAUAACGGCAGUCAUUACUCCAGAGUCUCUGAACUCUUUGAUGCUCUUGCUGUGAGCAGAAUGUGCCCCAGCGUGCUAUGUUCCACUCAUUGAGAAAAUGAAGGAUUCGAAGAGACUGCGAAUUAAUGAUCUCCAGUUGGCCAGUUUCACUUGUGUAGGUAACAGCAGGGGAGCACAGUGCUUCAUUUGAGCUGCUCUGAGGCAAUGGUCCAUGCCUUGCCUUGUGGAACCCUGUUGGGAAUCAGAGGUUAUUCAGAUUUUACAGUUUGCAUCUCAUGGAAAGAUCACUUGACACUAAUCAGAAAAACACCCACUGAAUUAAUAAUUAUGCUGUGGGAGACACAAACAAAA